rnacentral:rRNA from 1 species
CACCUGUUCCCAUGCCGAACACAGAAGUUAAGCUCUCCAGCGCCGAUGGUAGUUGGGGCUUUGCCCCUGCAAGAGUAGGACGCCGCCAGGC